rnacentral:lncRNA from 1 species
AGUUAGUGCCUUCAGUGGGUGCCUUCAGUUGGUGGCAUUUGGUUGCCUUUCCUGGGGACAGGUGGCAGGUGCUCAGCUCUGCAGGGUGGGGGCAAUUGAAGGCCCAAGCUGCCCGAGAAGAGCGGAGUUGCCCCAUGGGGACCACGCUGGCCUGUAGCAUGUGCACCAAAGCCAGCCCCAGGCAGGGCCCCCACAGGGCUUCUGCGGAGCCAUCCUGAGGCUUUGACAUCUAUGAGUGGGCGGCCAGCAAAGGCGCAGGCCCCAGCACAGAGGAGCAGAGGCGGCCGGAACACCCUGUCCCUUGAUACCAGCCCCAAGCAGAGCCACCUCAGGAUAAGGUGUUUGGAGCCGUCCUGCAGCUCUGAGAUCCACGAGGUGGCGGUGGGAGUAGCACCAGACUCCACUGAUUUGGAGUCUGCCCUGUCUGAUUCAGGAGACAUGACUAGCAGCACAUCGGCACCAGAAGACGCCAGAAGAGACAGGGUUUCACUGUGUUGCCCAGGCUGGUCUCAAACCCCUGGCCUCAAGUGAUUCACUCACGUUGGCCUCCCGCUUUGUUGGGAUGACAGGCAAGAACCACCACACCUGGCCUUGGGAGCUGCUCCUGCUUUGUGUGUUUUGGCUGGUCUUCCUGCACAGCUGUCGGGAGAGGAGCGGAAGACCUUCUGGUGUGGGCUGGGCAGCAAUUCACUUGAAGGAGAAACAGCCCCGGUGUGGAGAGGCGGCCAUCCUUGGCGGGAUCCUUUCUAAGGAGCCGAGAAAUCAACGUAGAGCUUCCUCUGUCUGAUUCUCUAACAACUGCAGACCUUCCAUGAGUCAAGCUUUGUGUCAAAAGGACAAAUAAAAAGGACCUAUAAAAGGCAUCACCAAGCCCAAUGGACAGAUGCCCCAGGCUGCACAUUCUGUCAGUGCUGUUCUGGAAAAGGCCCAAACACAUGCUGAAACAUCGAAGGAUAAGAAGCCAGCCCUCGGGAACCGGCAGGAGCACUCUGGGCCCCGCACGGCCCCAAGUCCAGCCUGCCCCGCCUCCUCUGGUGCAGAGGUCCAGGGAUACCAGCAGCAGCCCCGCCACGCCCCUCCAAGGCCAAGAACACAGGCGGCAGGGGCUUCCCCUCCCUGCCAGACUACUUCCUGCCGCCACAGCCACCACCCUUGGACGACCCAGAGCUCCCGCCGCCCCUGGACUUCGUGCUCCCUCCCCCCGCGGUCGCCAAGAGGCCUCCUAAUGCCCCACCCCCGCAAGAGACACGAAGCAUCAAUGUUCAGAA